CUACCAAGUCUGCAUCUAAUGCCUGCCUCUUCACAUCGCCAAUGAAUUAUCCUUGCAUUCCUAUGUCUACCAGUUGACACACUGCACGCACGGCAUACCAGUUCUGCAAGGGAAGAGAAUUCCAUUCGCAGGCUGUGCGUUUUACAGCAGCACCUGAGGUUUUGCUGUGGCUGCAAUCCCUACUGGACAAUGGCACAGACCAACAGCGUCGGGCAGGGGACCAAUGGAGUAACCGAUGAGUCGCCCAACAUGAUUGUCUACAGAAAGAUGGAGGAUGUAAUAGCUCGCAUGCAGGAUGAGAAGAAUGGAAUACCUAUCCGCACGGUGAAAAGUUUUCUCUAUCGAAGAUUCCAAGCGUAUUUUCAG